rnacentral:rRNA from 1 species
GUUUUUUGUNUGNCCCGUUCUCAUCCCAGUGUGGCCGGAACCCUCUCAGGCCGGCUACCCGUCGUCGCCUUGGUAGGCCGUCACCCCACCAACAAGCUGAUAGGCCGCGGGCUCAUCCCACACCGCUAAAGCGCUUUCCACCACAAGACAUGCAUCCCGUGGUCCUAUCCGGUAUUAGACCCAGUUUCCCAGGCUUAUCCCGAAGUGCAGGGCAGAUCACCCACGUGUUACUCACCCGUUCGCCACUCGAGUAUCUCCGAAGAGACCUUUCCGUUCGACUUGCAUGUGUUAAGCACGCCGCCAGCGUUCGUCCUGAGCCAGGAUAA